rnacentral:rRNA from 1 species
AGAGUUUGAUCCUGGCUCAGGACGAACGCUGGCGGCGUGCUUUACACAUGCAAGUCGAGCGAUGAGAUCCCUUCGGGGAAGGAUUAGCGGCGAACGGGUGAGGAACACGUGAGGAAUCUGCCUUCAACACUGGGAUAACUCCGGGAAACCGGGGCUAAUACCGGAUACGAGACCUGCAGGCAUCUGCGGGUCUGGAAAGUUUUUCGGUUGAAGAUGACCUCGCGGCCUAUCAGCUUGUUGGUGAGGUAAUGGCUCACCAAGGCGACGACGGGUAGCCGGCCUGAGAGGGCGACCGGCCACACUGGGACUGAGACACGGCCCAGACUCCUACGGGAGGCAGCAGUGGGGAAUAUUGGGCAAUGGAGGAAACUCUGACCCAGCGACGCCGCGUGCGGGAUGAAGGCCUUCGGGUUGUAAACCGCUUUCAGCAGGGAAGAAGCGAAAGUGACGGUACCUACAGAAGAAGCACCGGCUAACUAUGUGCCAGCAGCCGCGGUAAUACAUAGGGUGCAAGCGUUGUCCGGAAUUAUUGGGCGUAAAGAGCUCGUAGGUGGUUUGUUACGUCGGAUGUGAAAACCUGAGGCUCAACCUCAGGCCUGCAUUCGAUACGGGCGAACUAGAGUUUGGUAGGGGAGACUGGAAUUCCUGGUGUAGCGGUGGAAUGCGCAGAUAUCAGGAGGAACACCAAUGGCGAAGGCAGGUCUCUGGGCCAUUACUGACACUGAGGAGCGAAAGCGUGGGGAGCGAACAGGAUUAGAUACCCUGGUAGUCCACGCCGUAAACGAUGGAUACUAGCU